rnacentral:rRNA from 1 species
AACGAACGCUGGCGGCGUGCCUAACACAUGCAAGUCGAACGCGAAAGGGGGGCAACCCCCGGUAGGCGUGGCAGACGGGUGAGUAACACGUGGGUAACCGUACCCGGAGGGUGGGGGAGUAACCCUUCGAAGGAGGGCGUAAUACCGCGAUGACACCGCGGGGACUUCGGUCCUUGCGAUCAAAGCUGGCCUCUGUUUAC